rnacentral:rRNA from 1 species
GACAGAGGGUGCAAACGUUGCUCGGAAUUACUGGGCGUAAAGCGCGUGUAGGCUGACCUCCAAGUCGGACGUGAAAGCCCUGAGCUCAACUCAGGAACUGCAUCCGAAACUGAAGGUCUAGAGUAGUGGAGAGGAAAGCAGAAUUCCUGGUGUAGAGGUGAAAUUCGUAGAUAUCAGGAGGAACACCGGUGGCGAAGGCGGCUUUCUGGACACUUACUGACGCUGAGACGCGAAAGCGUGGGGAGCAACCAGG